rnacentral:rRNA from 1 species
AUUGAACGCUGGCGGCAGGCCUAACACAUGCAAGUCGAACGAGUGGCGGACGGGUGAGUAAUGUCUGGGAAACUGCCUGAUGGAGGGGGAUAAAUACUGGAAACGGUAGCUAAUACCGCAUACCAUCGGAUGUGCCUGGAUGGGAUUAGCUAGUAGGUGGGGGAAAGGCUAACCUAGGCGACGUUCCCUAGCUGGUCGGAGAGGAUGACCAGCCACACGGGAACUGAGACACGGUCCAGCCUCCUACGGGAGGUAGCAGUGGGGAAUAUUGCACAAUGGGCGCAAGCCUGAUGCAGACCUGUCGCGUGUAUGAAGAAGUCCUUCGGUCUGUAAAGUACUUUCAGCGGGUAGGCGUUACCCGCAGAAAAAGCACCGGCUAACUCCGUGCCAGCAGCCGCGGUAAUUC